CAUUACUGAGUUUACGCUCUAUAACCCUUUGUGAACAUACCUAUAACUGUUGCUUCGGCGGGUAGGGUCUCCGUGACCCUCCCGGCCUCCCGCCCCCGGGCGGGUCGGCGCCCGCCGGAGGAUAACCAAACUCUGAUUUAACGACGUUUCUUCUGAGUGGUACAAGCAAAUAAUCAAAACUUUUAACAACGGAUCUCUUGGUUCUGGCAUCGAUGAAGAACGCAGCGAAAUGCGAUAAGUAAUGUGAAUUGCAGAAUUCAGUGAAUCAUCGAAUCUUUGAACGCACAUUGCGCCCGCCAGCAUUCUGGCGGGCAUGCCUGUUCGAGCGUCAUUUCAACCCUCAAGCUCUGCUUGGUGUUGGGGCCCUACAGCUGAUGUAGGCCCUCAAAGGUAGUGGCGGACCCUCCCGGAGCCUCCUUUGCGUAGUAACUUUACGUCUCGCACUGGGAUCCGGAGGGACUCUUGCCGUAAAACCCCCAAUUUUCCAAAGGUUGACCUCGGAUCAGGUAGGAAUACCCGC
rnacentral:rRNA from 1 species